GGAGCGGUGUCCGAGUGGUUGAAGGAGGCGGUCUUGAAAACCGUUGAGCCGCAAGGGUCCGGGGGUUCGAAUCCCCCCUGCUCCG
rnacentral:tRNA from 1 species